UCGAGAAUCAUUCGCAAUGGGCGAAAGCCUGACGAUGCGACGCCGCGUGUGUGAAGAAGGCCUUCGGGUUGUAAAGCACUUUCGCUAGAGAGCAAGAAAGGCCGGCUAAUAUCCGGCCAAUUUGAGAGUACCUAGUAAAGAAGCACCGGCUAACUCCGUGCCAGCAGCUGCGGUAAUACGGAGGGUGCAAGCGUUAAUCGGAUUUAUUGGGCGUAAAGGGCGCGUAGGCGGGAUAGCAAGUCUGAUGUGAAAUCCUGGAGCUUAACUCCAGAACAGCAUCUGAAACUACCAUUCUAGAGGAUAGACGGGGAAAACGGAAUUCCACAAGUAGCGGUGAAAUGCGUAGAUAUGUGGAAGAACACCAGUGGCGAAGGCGGUUUUCUAGUUUAUUCCUGACGCU
rnacentral:rRNA from 1 species